CUAUCAUGCAAGUCGAGCGAACAGACGAGGAGCUUGCUCCUCUGACGUUAGCGGCGGACGGGUGAGUAGCACGUGGAUAACCUACCUAUAAGACUGGGAUAGCUUCGGGAAACCGGAGCUAAUACCGGAUAAUAUAUUGAACCGCAUGGUCCAAUAGUGAAAGACGGUUUUGCUGUCACUUAUAGAUGGAUCCGCGCCGCAUUGGCUAGUUGGUAAGGUAACGGCUUACCAAGACAACGAUGCGUAGCCGACCUGAGAGGGUGAUCGGCCACACUGGAACUGAGACACGGUCCAGACUCCUACGGGAGGCAGCAGUAGGGAAUCUUCCGCAAUGGGCGAAAGCCUGACGGAGCAACGCCGCGUGAGUGAUGAAGGUCUUCGGAUCGUAAAACUCUGCUACUAGGGAAGAACAAAUGUGUAAGUAACUAUGCACGUCUUGACGGUACCUAAUCAGAAAGCCACGGCUAACUACGUGCCAGCAGCCGCGGUAAUACGUAGGUGGCAAGCGUUAUCCGGAAUUAUUGGGCGUAAAGCGCGCGUAGGUGGUUUUUUAAGUCUGAUAUGAAAGCCCACGGCUCAACCGUGGAGGGUCAUUGGAAACUGGAAAACUUGAGUGCAGAAGAGGAAAGUGGAAUUCCAUGUGUAGCGGUGAAAUGCGCAGAGAUAUGGAGGAACACCAGUGGCGAAGGCGACUUUCUGGUCUGUAACUGACGCUGAUGUGCGAAAGCGUGGAGAUCAAACAGGAUUAGAUACCCUGGUAGUCCACGCCGUAAACGAUGAGUGCUAAGUGUUAAGGGGUUUCCGCCCCUUAGUGCUGCAGCUAACGCAUUAAGCACUCC
rnacentral:rRNA from 1 species